rnacentral:rRNA from 1 species
CAGAGGUGGCAAGCGUUGUUCGGAAUUACUGGGCGUAAAGGGCGCGUAGGCGGUUCGUUAAGUCCUGUGUGAAAUCCCCCGGCUCAACUGGGGGAACUGCACAGGAAACUAGCGGGCUUGAGUUCGGGAGAGGGAAGCGGAAUUCCGGGUGUAGCGGUGAAAUGCGUAGAUAUCCGGAGGAACACCGGUGGCGAAGGCGGCUUCCUGGACCGACACUGACGCUGAGGCGCGAAAGCUAGGGGAGCAAACGGGAUUAGAUACCCCGGUAGUCCUAGCUGUAAACGAUGAGUGCUGGUGUAGGGGGUAUUAACCCCCCCUGUGCCGAAGCUAACGCAUUAAGCACUCCGCCUGGGGAGUACGGUCGCAAGGCUG